CACGUAGGGUGCGAGCGUUAUCCGGAUUUACUGGGCGUAAAGCGCUUGUAGGUGGUCUUGUAAGUUGGGCGUGAAAGCUCCGGGCUUAACCCGGAGAGGCCGUCCAAUACUGCGAGGCUGGAGGAUGUCAGAGGAAGGUGGAAUUCCUGGUGUAGUGGUGAAAUGCGCAGAUAUCAGGAGGAACACCAGUGGCGAAGGCGGCUUCUGGACGGUAACUGACGCUGAGACGCGAAAGCGUGGGGAGCAAACAGG
rnacentral:rRNA from 1 species